rnacentral:lncRNA from 1 species
UAUAUAUAUAUAUAUAUUUAACACAAUAUAAGGGUAAUUGCUAUCUGGGAACUUGCCUCUGUUCUUCCCCUUGAUUACAUCUUGUUGACAAUGAUUUAGCUUAGAUUUAACUCGUGAUGCCAUGCUCAAUCGUAGGCUAUUAUAUAUUGUCAUUUAGCCGAUAUUACUUUUAUUUCUUUUCAACAAGUAACCCCCGUCCUUGUCUAGUCNNN